CUCCCAGCAUGAAAGGAGGACUAUCCUCUUGCAGAGAGGUCUCAGAUGGGGGCAAUUUCUUAAGUGCAUGAAGGCAUUGGACAAGGUUGUCCCUUCAGUGCAGACUGGGGACAAAUAGGAAACACUGUCAGGAAGAGAGGGUAGACACAGACGUCCUCCACGGCAUCAGCAGGAGACUUCCUUCCAGUGUGCAAAGAGCUCAGCAGGGAAUAACUCUCCAGAAUGGGGCAGGUGGGGAUUCCUGAAGUGCAGAAGUGCCCUGCCAUGUUCCCUGUCCCUAUCCCACCUGUCCAUUGUUGACAGCUGCAUGCCGUGCUGAGCAAGUGAACACCACCAGGGUAAGAAACUUGUUGAGCUCUGCCACCGUCUUCAGCAAGGAGGGGAUGCCUGAAGGGCGGGGGGCAAAGAGCCAUCAGGGCCCCAUCCAAGGCACUCCCCUGGCCUUGAGGAUACCUAGGAGCCUCAUGGAGCCCACUGGGCUACGGAGUGGUACCUGAGGACGUCUGCACCAGGAAGUCAUUGGUGAAGAUAUCCAUCACCCAAGCCUGCAACUCCGCAUCACCUUGCACCGCUGCGUUGUCUGUAUAGUAGAAAGCCACCAUCCCAGAGACAAACCUGUCACGGGAAGAGGGACAGCGAGGCUGCAGGAUGUCCCCGGAGCCAUCAGUGACUGUCACCGAGUCUUCCACUCCACCUCUUGAUGUCCUCCCAGGGGCUCAUCCCAUCAUCCCGCUAGUGGUAGUUGGGGAAGAGAGACACCAUGGGCUCGUAUAUCUUCAGGGAGGCAGAGUGAUGUGUAGGUAACUUUCUCCAAGCCCCGCUGAAGAAUCAGCAGCAGCCCCUCAAGGGUAAGCCCUGAGCCCUAGUGAGGAGAAGACACCACUGAGUGCUCACCAGCAGGGGGUCAGGCAGAAGGUGUCACGUGAUAUGAUCAGUCCCCACUGAUGUCCCCGGGGCUCACCUUGUCAGUGACACCACCAGGGUUAAUGAGGAUGGUCCGGGACAGCGUGUUGAUGUGCAGCAUGAAGCAGAAGUGUAGGAUAAGAAGCUGGAGAGAGGGGAAUGGGUCACCCUGACCAGAGGGCACCAGGGGGACUUGGAACCCUGGGCCAGGUGCAGAGCCAGCAGUGCCACAUGGGAUCAACUGCUGCGAAUGAUGAAGCCUAAAGAGGACUUGGCCACAGCAAAAAGAAAGAGGGAAAAUGACUGUCCUGGAGGUCAGCACUGGCAUGUGGGGUCAGCAGGGCUCGGCCUGGGGCAGUUUGAGAAAGGAAGAGGGUGUGGAGGGCUUGGAAGGACCAGCAGUUUCCCAGGAAGUCGGAGAUGGUUGGGUGUGUGACAACUGCUGUGGUGAGAUCAGCUACAGGACUGGGCUGAUGGGCGAGCUGGUGGCCUCAAAAGACUUCCCAGAUGUCUACCUUGAAGAGUGGGUGACAGAACUCCUCCAGUGGUGCUGGAGGAGUUUCAGGUACGACAUUAAGAGAAGGCGCCAGGCAGACCUUGUAACGGCCUUCCAGAACCUGAAGGCUGGGGAGGGACUUUCCAUAAGGGCGUGUGGCGACAAAGACAAGGGGAAAUGGCUUUAAACUGGAAGUGAUUAGAUUUAGGCUAGAUAGUAGAAAGGGAUUUGUUACUGUGUGGAUGGUGAGAUACUGGCACCCAUGUCAUACUGUGGGCAAAGUUUGCAGUCAACAGAGGGGAUGGGUAGGGCCAUCCAUUUGGCGUGGGGACAG
rnacentral:lncRNA from 1 species